GACACCCCAGGGCCGGAAAGCUAUCCAAACUCGGUCAUUUAGAGGAAGUAAAAGUCGUAACAAGGUCUCCGUUGGUGAACCAGCGGAGGGAUCAUU
rnacentral:rRNA from 1 species